rnacentral:lncRNA from 1 species
UUUUGAUUGAGGCAAUGAAGGAUAGGUAGGAUCGAAAACGUUUUAGUAGUGUUGGUUAGAAAAAAAUGAACUUCUGAAAGAGCAGGUCAUGCUUUUUAAAAAAUGAACUUCGGAAAGAGUAACUAACUUUGGGAGGAAAGCCUUUCCCCCUCUCAUCUUGACAAAUGCAACAAAUUAAUGGCAAAAAGGUAAAAAUGGAUAGUUUUGAUGGAAUUUUCCUUGUGGAGCAUGAGUUGAGCCCCAUUUCUCAUUUCUAAUAUAUGAAUCUCUUGUGUCUACCAUGGAACUUAGGUAAAAAUGGUAAAUCAAACUGUUGUCAAUUUGCAUGCAAUGGAUGACCUGGCUGCAGGUCAAUUGUCCCAAAAGGAGAAAGUAAAGAACAAAAACAGGUCAAGGUUGACAAUAGUAAUGCUCAGCCUACAAAACUUAUCAACUCCCACAUAACUAGAAUAGCUAUUUUGACUGGAUUUUAGACACAUGAUGGGGCUUGCUAGUUGAGUGACCUGAUGAACAACUUUUCAGAGACUCGGAGAAAAGAGAAAAUAACAUAGAACUCGAAGUCUGAGUGCUACACAAUUUUCUGUUCUUAGAUGGACUUUAAUUGGUCGUAUUUAUAGUAAAUGGGUGGUCAAAUGCCUAUUAUGUCCACUUGAUGAGGUGAACGUGUCUCACAACUUCGUGAUCGCCACUUGGACGAACUAACAUUGAUGCCAAGCCAUGCUGAAACUUACAUCACCAUUAAUGAUAAUAUUAAGGAUUUAUUGAUGGCUAAACAGCUCCCCUUCUUAAUGAUGGGCCGUGUAAGAUGAUAAUGACGAUUUCACAUGUUGUUUGGUGAAGAACUUAAAACCUAUACACCAUAAAAGUGUCUUAGGAGUACAUUGUUUAGGUUUUUGUAACC